rnacentral:rRNA from 1 species
GAUGAACGCUGGCGGCGUGCCUAAUACAUGCAAGUCGAGCGAACAGACGAGGAGCUUGCUCCUCUGACGUUAGCGGCGGACGGGUGAGUAACACGUGGAUAACCUACCUAUAAGACUGGGAUAACUUCGGGAAACCGGAGCUAAUACCGGAUAAUAUAUUUAACCGCAUGGUUCAAUAGUGAAAGACGGUUUUGCUGUCACUUAUAGAUGGAUCCGCGCCGCAUUAGCUAGUUGGUAAGGUAACGGCUUACCAAGGCAACGAUGCGUAGCCGACCUGAGAGGGUGAUCGGCCACACUGGAACUGAGACACGGUCCAGACUCCUAAGGGAGGCAGCAGUAGGGAAUCUUCAGCAAUGGGCGAAAGCGUGACGGAGCAACGCCGCGUGAGUGAUGAAGGUCUUCGGAUCGUAAAACUCUGUUAUUAGGGAAGAACAAAUGUGUAAGUAACUAUGCACGUCUUGACGGUACCUAAUCAGAAAGCCACGGCUAACUACGUG